rnacentral:lncRNA from 1 species
ACGCGGGCGGCUCAGGGCCCGCCCGGCCGGGACGCGGCUGCGGGGCGGGGCGGGGCGGGAGCCUGGCGGGAAGCUCGCGGGGCUGCAGCCCGGCGGAGGCCCCGGGCCUGGUGUUCCGCACGUUCUAAACCGCCUGUCCCCGAGGAAGUCGGGCAGGGUCGGGCCGGACUCAGCGCCGCUGGCGGGAGCGCCGUCCGCCCCGAGGACCCUGCGGGCCCGGAAGCCGAGACAGGGCCGCCCACGUCAGCGCCUGGCGCGGGCCCGAACGUAAAUGGCGCUCCUCCGCGCCGCAGCCGCAGCCGCCCCGCUCCCUUCCCGCUCCGCCAGCUGCCGCCCUCCCGCGCUCGCUUCUCGCCCCGCGGCCUGGCCCGUGCGCCUCCGAGGCUGGCCAGGGGCACCGAGGCCGCGGGCCCCCCAUCGCCCCCACCCGAGCCCUGAUUUACCGUCCGAGAGCCGGCGGCACAUGGGACCCCGAGAGGAGAAGCGCGCCUGCCCCAAAACCACGGCAUGGAGACGGAAUGAUGCAGACUCCUAUCCGCGAGAUACCUGCUGUAAUUUCGCUGUGGUUCGUGAGGACGCGUCCUGGGCUGCCCUGAGAAGCCUACGUCUCCCCUUCGAGGCCCGGGAAGACCUCCAACCCCGCUGACAAUGCUGGGCCCUCAGCCAGACCUGCCCUGCGUGCCACGUUCUGUUCUAAGAUCGGGCUGCCGAGCUGUGGCCUGGAGGAAACCUGGCAGGUGUCACCAGAGCUUUGGGGAGGGUGAGGCCCUGUCGGGGAAGCCCAGUGGGAGUCAUGAAGGAGGGAACACGUGUGGAGCCCUUGUAGGGGGAGGGGCAGCCCUGCAGAGAUCUAAGAAAAAAUUCCAGAAAAAUGAGCAGCAACCUCCAAGGCCAGGCAUCGGUGCAGGGGACAAGGGGUCGUAGCUGGAGGGGCCUAGGUGAGGCUGCCGGGAAGGGACGAUGUGGUUGGUGGAGUGCACAGGCAGGGACCUCACUGGACUUUCCUGUCUGCUCAGCAUGGACAGGCAGCCCAGGAGAAGGCAGCACGUGGCCGGGUGCAGGGACGUACCACCCCCACUUCCCCAGGGGAGCUGGGGUCAGACGAGUCCCAGGCACUCCAUCCUCUGCAGCAAGUCAGGUUGUGAUUUACUAGGGGGUGGUGAAUAUAAUGGAGAGACUUCUGGGGAGGAAUUCCUGGCUCCCGCGUGGACUUGCAGAGCUCAACAGGCAGCCACGUGGCUGAGUGUCCAGCAAACAUCACAUAAGGCUUUGGGUCCUGCAGGUGGGGCUGCCAUGAGCAGCAAGCUCAGUCCAGAAGAACAGUUCCUCUCCAGGAUCCACUUCCUGCGCACUUUUAUGUGCAGUGUAGCUGGAGCAGAGCUCCCCGGAAUUCCACAGGCAACUGAGAACGGAGAGGGAUGCAGGCCAGCCAGGGAUCCAGCGUCUUCCCCAUCGUCACUCUCCAUGGCCUCCGUCUACACACAGUGUUCGUCUGCACAGCUUGUCAGCGCGUUAUCAUGACUUCUAUUUGGCACCGGCCCGUCUGUCCACUGUCCUGGCUUGUUCCAAGCGCUGCCUUCUCCAACUGGGGUCCUGGCUGCAGAGCUGUCUGCUCCCCACGUUGGGCAACUCCAGCCAAGAUUCCUACACCCAAAUGUGACCGUGUUGCUCACGAAGAAGGCUCAGCUUUGCGUGUGCCCAGCCGUGUGCACAGCUCGUCCCAACUCCUGCGGGUGGCACCUGCCUCUCCCACCUCCAGUCUUUCCCCUGUGAUGAGCAGAUGACCACCGCCCUCCAGGGUCAGCGUUUGGCUGUUUGUGUGCCUGCCCACCCGCCUCCCUGUGCCUGGGCCUGCCCUGUGCCUGCACACAGGAGUGGCUCAUGGCGUUUGCCCUACACGGAUGGGCUGUCCUGGGAGCUACUGGACAGUCACCUUGGUGGGAAUGCCAGAGGCAUGGGCAUUAGGUCCCCCCGGCCAGCCUCCGUUGCCACAUGGGCUAUUUUUGUCCAUCGCGUGGGACAACCUAGUAUUGGGGGAAAACUCAGUCCACUCUAAAGAAGCAUCGGCGUUUUGGAUGGACGAAUGCUGCUUCAUGCGACUCCAUGUCAAUGGACUAUUUUAUUCAACUCGGGUAUUUAUGAGUGUCUCCUCUGUGCCAGCCACGUGUGAAAGAAGAACUCCAAGUUACUGGACACCAGGACAAACCAGGUAGAUCACUGCAUCCGGUUCCUCCUCUUUCUGCCGACUCUCCCGGGCAACCGUUCUGAUUCCUGGCAUGGAGUUGGGGGCGAGCUCAUCAGUACCCAGAGCGCCUGGUGUGCAGCCAAAGGCCCCCAUUUUAUUAGUCGGUGUGUUCAGUAUCACGCUCAAGACAAGGGCCAACCUAUUACUUCACACACCUCAAAUACAAAAAGUGCCUGGGAACGUCGAUGAGGUAUUAAAGGAAACCACUGGUCUUGUCAGUCAUGUACACACAGAAAAAAAAACCAGUCAUUUUUAUUUUUAUUUUUUGAGACAGAGUUUCGCUCUUGUUGCCCAGGCUGGAGUGCAAUGGUGCAAUUUCAGCUCACUGCAAUCUCUGCCACCCGGAUUCAAGCAAUUCUCCUGUCUCAGCCUCCCGAGUAGCUGGAAUUGCAGACACCCAUCACCACGCCCAGCUAAUUUUAUGUAUUUUUAGUAGAGAUGGGGUUUCACCAUGUUGGUCAGGCUGGUCUUGAACUCCUGACCUCAGGUGAUCCACCCACGUCAGGCUCCCAAAGUGCUGAGAUUACAGGCAUGAACCACUGUGCCCAGCCGAAAACAACCAAGAAUUUUUUAACAAUAAAAUGACCAGCAAGUAAACUUGAAACAAAAAUGGACAAAUAUCUAAAAUAUUUUUAAAUGUAUGUAUUUUAAUUGGCAAAUAAUACUUGUAUAUAUUGUUUACAACUUGUUUUAAAGUAUGAAUACAUUGUGGAAUGGCUAAAUCAAGUUAAUUAACAUGCAUUAACUCACAUACUUUUUGUUUUUUGGUGUGGUGAGGACACUUAACAUCUACUCUCUUAGCAAUUUUCCAGUCACCAUGUCCUACUAUAGAUCCCUAGAACAUAUUCCUCCAAUGUAACUGAAAUGUAUCCCUUGACCAACAUCACUGCCCGGCCCCAGCCCCAGGUAAACACCAUUCUACCCUCUGCUUCUGUGAGUUCAGCUUUUCUAGAUUUCACCUGUGAGUGAGAUUGUGCAGCAUUUGUCUUUCUGUGCCUGGGUUUUUUCACAUAAUGCCCUUCUGGUUCAUCUAUAUUGUCAUAUAUGGUAGCAUUGUCUUCCUUUGUAAGGCUGACUGGUAUACCAUUGCGUAUAUACACCACAUUGUUUACCUAAAAUAUUUUUUAAUACAAUCGCUGAAAACUGCCA